CCUACGGGAGGCAGCAGUGGGGAAUAUUGGACAAUGGGGGGAACCCUGAUCCAGCGACGCCGCGUGAGUGAAGAAGUAUUUCGGUAUGUAAAGCCCUAUCAGCAGGGAAGAAAGAAAUGACGGUACCUGACGAAGAAGCCCCGGCUAACUACGUGCCAGCAGCCGCGGUAAUACGUAGGGCGCAAGCGUUAUCCGGAUUUACUGGGUGUAAAGGGAGCGUAGACGGCGAUGCAAGUCUGAAGUGAAAGGCGGGGGCCCAACCUCCGGACUGCUUUGGAAACUGUAUGGCUGGAGUGCAGGAGAGGUAAGUGGAAUGCCUGGUGUAGCGGUGAAAUGCGUAGAUAUUAGGAAGAACACCAGUGGCGAAGGCGGCUUACUGGACUGUAACUGACGUUGAGGCUCGAAAGCGUGGGGAGCGAACAGGAUUAGAUACCCUAGUAGUC
rnacentral:rRNA from 1 species